rnacentral:lncRNA from 1 species
AAGAGUUUCCCAUCCUAAUACGUCAAAGUGAUCUAGAUGUAGAGGUUUCGACUACCCCUACAGUACCAUGUCUGCCAUGUGUGCCACUGUGCUUUCUGCUAUGAUGAUAAAAGAAGUUUAUAAACUACACCUCUGAAGCUGUAAGCCAGCCCUGCCAUGGUCAUGGAGUCUCGUCACAGCACUGACUAAGACAAUGCCUUUGGGUCAUUCUCCUGAUUGAUGACUGACAUGGGAUGGCCCACUGUGGACAUGGGAUGCUCACUGUGAGUAGCACCAUCACUAGGCGGUAGGUCUUGGCUGUAUAAGAAAGCCAGUUGAGCAUAAGCCAGUAUGCAGCAUCCCUCAAUGGUCUCUGCUUCAGUUCCUGCCUCCAGGAUCCUG